CUACCACUGGAAAGAACACAAAGAGGUCUAAUGGUCCCCAAAUUCAUCGCAGGGAUCCAGUGUGAGGUAUGAGUGUAACAGAGGAGCAAAAGGGUUUGCAUAGCUGGGUAGGGACCUGCUCAAGGUACGGUCCCCACCCUUCAAUGACCUGCGAUUGUCUCAGUGCUGGUUCUCCUGCCAGGUGGUCUGACAUCUGUCAGAACUAUGUGAAAUCCUCUGAGAGACAAGCUCACCGGAUGGCACCAGGCUUCAACUUUUUACUCCACUGAGAAUGGGACAGUCCCUGGGGAAAUUCCAGCUUCUUGGGCCUAUUGUUUCCCUAGUGUGGUAGUGAAAGGGUAGGUAUAGCCUCCUCUUUAGAAUGCCCUUCAUUUCAGACAGCAACAGUUACAUCUCUUCAGGGCCCUCCCAGGGACACCAAUGUACACAUGGAGAANNAUAUUCUUUCUGCCUCUGCCACACACUCAGGAAAGGUGCGAGAGGAGGUUGGAGGGUGGGGGCAGGGGAAGCAUCCUUCACUCAGAAAGCUCACUGGUGAAGAGUGGGUAUUAUCAUGUGGUACCCAGCCUCAUCAGAAGUGGGGGCCGGUCCUGCCGGACAUGUCCCUGGCUUUGUCCAUUAUCCUCCAUGUUCUAGGUGUAGCCAGGGCCAGGACGAGGGAGUAGACAGAACAGCUCCUCUCUGAGAAUGCAAUGAAGCAGUCCUGACACCAACAAGGACUUCAACUCCAGCAGCCUGACAAAGCCUUCUACACAGACCCCAAGUGUCAUCCAGCUCACACUUGGCUCACCGUAAAACAAAGAGGCUUUUGUGCAUUCAUUCAGCUGCGUACACAAACCUGAACAAACUGAGCGAUGACAGGAAUGACAGGAAACUGCUAGACAAAGUGACAGGGUCCAGUCCACGCUUCAUAGGGUGGGAAGGUGAGUUAGACAAACGAAACCAGAAUCAGCCUUUUGCAAAUAUUUAUUAAACUAACAAAAUUCAACAGGUUGCCUUGCCCUCCUGUUCUGUUCCCGUGAAUUACUGACUCCCUAAAUCAAACCAGCUUUAUCACCGACUUAGUGCUGCGAAGACUCAAAACGGGUCUGGCCUCUCUGGAUGGGGCCGCUAUGUGUGAAACACUGGCUUCCCAUCACAGAAUAAACAAAUUAGGAGGCUUGGAGCAACAAACCAGUCUCUGUGCACCGCUGAGGGGACAGCCCCUAGUCAAGGGUCUCAAGAGGACACAUGACCCUGUUCAAAGUCUCCUUCAUGCAUGGAUGCUGAGUUCAGUGGUGACUAUUCCUUCCCCGGUUUCCCUGGGGCACAGAGAGGCUUCGCGAAGGUUGCUAAGCACGGCAUGGUGGAAUCAAAACAUCUGUUUUGAAACAGAAGCUGGGGCCAAGACAAAAACCAACCGGCCAGACAGUCAGCUGCAGAGACAUUCCUCUCCUCCCUACUGCCCUCCCCUUACCAAAGGUCCGGGCCACAAAGAGAUCUGGGGAGAGGGACAGCAAAAAGCAUCAGCUAAGCAAGCAAACCCUCAACCUCCUACCAGCUGACAUCUUAGUCCAGAGAAACCGGGAGGAAAACAGAGUCUCCUGCAGCCAUAGUUGGAACAGGCUGUGGACAGGGGACCCCCUCUCUCUACCACUCUCCUACUUUUAACUCCAGCCCAGCCCUUCAAAGACAACAGUUUGGAUGAAGUGACUAAAUCAAGAGAGUUUAACCAACUCCUUACAAGACAGCUAGAGUGGAGGAUUAGCCAGAGUUGGGGAAUCUGGGAAGGCAAUGUGUACAUUAAAAACAAACAAACAAACAAAAACAACAACAAUGAAAAGAAACCCAUCCUAAAAUGGGACCGAACAAGAAACUCAGCCCUGAGGUGCUGCUGAAGCCUCCUUUCACAGAGCAGUAGUGCCCAACAGGAACAAGAAAGAAGCGGGCAAACACCCCCUUUCCAUGUGUACAACACGGUCAUUAGAUGUUCCUCCGGGCAACAUGCUGUGACUAGACCACCUAGUCCACUUAGAGACAGUCUCCCUCAGGGAACGGAGCCUUCAGUCAGCCCUUCUUCACACAAUAGAUACUUAAUGUGGAUCCCCACCAGCUGCUGGUGCACUGGGUCCCCAAAGGCCUCGCUCUGCCCCUGCCCCACUCUUCCAGUUUGCCCAUCAUUUCUUCCUGAACAGACCAGCCAAACUGGUUCCUGGGUUCUUCCUCACCUCGAGUAAGUCCCCUCCCACCUCGGGCCUGCACAAAACACCCACUCACCCCUGAGACACCACAGGCUGUGAUCCACACAGGCCUCCUUGCGCUGCGCGAGACAGUGGCAAGGUGUAGAGAACCUGAGAUCAGGGAGGGUGCCAGCCCCUGAUCACCGGUCAGUUCACAAGGUCCUCUGUGCUGCUGUGUGCCAGCUUUCGUGCUGGGCACUGCCGGAGUGAGACAGUAAUGAAAGAUAAUGAAGUGUUUGGAGGCCAAGGAAGGAAAAUGCUUGAGGAGCCGAUGUGAACGCCUAGAAGAUAAGCGGGGUGGAAGACUCCACAGCGUGGACAUCCCUGGGGCCCUGAUGAAAGAUUUCAGAGGAGUGGCAAGUGCCAUACCCUGACUGGUCAGCUUCCAGAGAGGAGGGAAGCAAGCACGGCAUGCGCAUGCGCAGACAAGACAGUGCCAUAAACACCCACUCACAGGGGCACCUGGGAAAUGAACUGCGGGUCAGGGUCAGGGUGGGCUUCCCAAAAAGCCUUUGGCGUAAGGGUGGGAAUUGGCCUGCUUAGGAAAGAAAGCUGAGUCUGUGGAAGCAAGAGCCCAAGAGAAGGGGAAGGGGUAGUCAUUGGGCACACAGGCAGAAUUGGCAAGCAGAUGUAAGUUUCCCCCUUAAUUGCUUUCUUUCCUCUGUGAAGCAGGAAGCAUAUUGAUUAGGUGAGAGAGGUGUCGAGGGCUCAGAAGAUUGAGAUGAGAAACAGUCAAAUCACCCCAUGGCGCUGAAAAUCAUGGGUGGCGUCCAUGUCCCCCUCACCCCCACCUACAUUGGGCAACAUGAGUGUGCGCAGAGAUGAGGAGAUCUGGACUUGUUCCCAGUUGGGGACUUCAGACAAGGACAGUUGUCUGCAUGUGUCAGCAGCCAUGAAUGUGUGCAGGAAUCCAGGCAAGGCAGGGAGGGGAGAGAUGGUGGCAGGAUAAGGGCUGCUUACCUUGGGAGGCUAUGGGACCACUGAUUGGGGAGAAGGUAGAAGGGGGCCAGAGGAUAGGGUGAUUGAAACGGAACUUUGAGGGGGGAAGAACAGGUAUAUGGGUGAGGUGAGAAGGCAGCUUUGGCCAUGCCGAGGUCACGUCACGGAUGUGAGACUAGCAGAGGAGGCAGAGCAUGCUCUGAAAAUGGCUUCCCCUAGGAUGAUGACUGAAUGGGAGAAGACCAGGGAAUGGUGUGUGUGAUCACAAGGAGUGCCCCCCUCCCCGCCCCAGAAGUGCCAGCUCCCAGCAAACUCCCGCAGAGCAGUGCGUGACAAGGACCCAUAGGAGCCUCCAGCCCACUUCUGUCGACCAAGCAGAGUAGCCCCAUGGAAAGGCCAGUUUGGAGGAGUCCACACUGCUGAAGGAGUAGUUUUAAGGGUGAGACAACCGUGUGGUGGUUUGCUGAAGAGGCACUGUAGCUCCAGAAGGUUGAGGAGCAAGACAGACAACCCCCCCCUCCCAAGGCCAAUCUAUCUGUCUGCUAAUUCAAGCUCAGAAUCCAAGCAGGGCACGGUUCCUUUCUGGGCUUCUCUGAUGAUUAAGUUGGCGGGAGGUAGGAAUAUGAUUAGAUACCCAUGUUCCUCUGCACCGGACAUGCUUUGAAGACCCACACGUGACAGGCAGGGUCUCGGAAGGCACACUGGGGCCAUGACCAGGUGAGUUGAAGACACAGACACACAUGCAUUAUUCACAUCCCCACCUACACUAUUUCAGGGCACACGUUUGUGACUCUUCUGUCCCCUUUCUCCACGUAGAGCUGCUGCACUCAGGGGCCUGUCUAUUUACAGAGGUAGCAGCAAACACUCUUGCUCUUUCCUCAAAAGGGAAAGCGUAAUCCUGGGAUAGCCUGUUACCACCACCUUUGCUUCCCAAAGGCUCCCUGUGACUACAGUUACCACUCUCCUUGAAUAGCAUGGCCUCUGGGCUGAGUCAGUACACGUUCAUAGCUUGCUUAAUGAUGUCAGAGCAGACUUCCCAAACUCCAUCCCCCAUGGACAUUGGCGUACUGUGACAAGCACUGUGUGUUUUAUAAACAAAACACGAGCAGGAUAUAAGACAUGCUGGGCUGAGGGGGCGCGUCACGGCAGGGCCUUGGGACAAGGGAGUGUUUGACAAGCAGGGUUUGCUGUCCUCUGCCAGUGGAAUCUUUGGUUCUCAGGCCCCACCAAUUGGAGGGGAUUGGACCAUUUUUGCCUCUGAUGCCUGUCACAGAUUCCAACCUGAGGAGUUGCUUUGUCCUUCCCCAUCCUGGCAUUGUCAGACGGAAGGCGCACCCAACCCUACACACUGCAGACCCCUCCUGGCCUCCUGCCAUCUCCAGGCCUAGGUUCUGGCUCUAGGAAGCAGCUCACACCCCCAAGCACUUGUGUGUGUCCUGCCCUCACAUCCCCAGUCUUAGGCUUGCAUCUCAAGGUGGUGACUUGAUUCUAAAAGAGGUGAGACCAGUCUGGGCUUGUCUGGAAGCCUUCAGGACCCACCCAGGGAGCCUGUCCAAGCAAAAGCAGAAUGUCCUGGGGAGGGGAGGAGUCAUGCCAUGGGAAGGGAACAGGUGUGAAGGCACAGCUGCAGGCCCAGGUGGGUACAGCGACUGGUAAAGCAUGCUGGCAGUCACCCUCCCUGCGACUUACAGGCAGGCCAAAGAUGGAUGAGGUCAAAGAAGGGGACACAGCCUUCACCCCAGAAAGGGGUGUGAGCCUCAGAAGGCCAUGCCAGGCAGAGCUGGCUGUGCCCGCACCAUUGUUCUGACAGUUUGUACAUCCCCUCUUGAGAAUCAGUUAUUAUUCCCCUGCCAGUCUCCUACUGUCCAUCUGUCCUUCCCAAGCUCUGGGCAUUCUUGUAUGCCAUGGCGACUACUCUUUGGCCCUUACUGAGUUUCUCCAGAUUCUUUCUGGGUAUUGCUUAUCUACAAACGCCACUCCGUCUUUUCAUACAGUGCAGUGUGAAGUUUUUGUGUGGUCAAACCUAUGAGCAUGACCCAGGGGAAGAGACAGACCAUGCUGCAUCCUCUCACCAGCUCUGUGGGAAAAUUCUGUGGCGCAUGCUCUGUGCUUGUUUUUCUAUCUGAACAUUAUGUUUCGACGAAGUAUUCCUCAGACCUGCCUGACUUUCUGGUAUGGCCUCUGAAUUUUAUACUUUACUUUAAAAGUCUUUCCACACCAUGAAACUGAAUAAGCAUCCCCUCUAUUUUCUUCUAAUGCUUUGAAAGCAGGGUUUCUUAAAAUAUCUAAUAACCCCC
rnacentral:sRNA from 1 species